rnacentral:misc_RNA from 1 species
UUUCCGUAGGUGAACCUGCGGAAGGAUCAUUAAAAAUGAAGCCGGGAAACCGGUCCUUCUCACCCUUGAUUAUCUCAAAUUGUUGCUUUGGCGGGCCGCGCAAGCACCGGCUUCGGCUGGAUCGUGCCCGCCAGAGGACCACAACUCUGUAUUAUAUGUCGUCUGAGUACUAUAAAAUAGUUAAAACUUUCAACAACGGAUCUCUUGGUUCUG